rnacentral:rRNA from 1 species
GAACCGUUAUAACCGGCGAUACCCGAAUGGGGAAACCCAGUGUGAUUCGUCACACUAUCAUUAACUGAAUCCAUAGGUUAAUGAGGCGAACCGGGGGAACUGAAACAUCUAAGUACCCCGAGGAAAAGAAAUCAACCGAGAUUCCCCCAGUAGCGGCGAGCGAACGGGGAGGAGCCCAGAGCCUGAAUCAGCAUGUGUGUUAGUGGAAGCGUCUGGAAAGGCGCGCGAUACAGGGUGACAGCCCCGUACACAAAAGCGCAUGUGCUGUGAGCUCGAUGAGUAGGGCGGGACACGUGGUAUCCUGUCUGAAUAUGGGGGGACCAUCCUCCAAGGCUAAAUACUCCUGACUGACCGAUAGUGAACCAGUACCGUGAGGGAAAGGCGAAAAGAACCCCGG